UACGGAGGAUGCGAGCGUUAUCCGGAUUUAUUGGGUUUAAAGGGUGCGUAGGCGGCGAGUUAAGUCAGCGGUAAAAGCCCGGGGCUCAACCCCGACAAGCCGUUGAAACUGGCUUGCUAGAGUGGGCGAGAAGUAUGCGGAAUGCGUGGUGUAGCGGUGAAAUGCAUAGAUAUCACGCAGAACUCCGACUGCGAAGGCAGCUCUCUGGGCCGGCACUGACGCUGAAGCACGAAAGCGUGGGUAUCGAACAGG
rnacentral:rRNA from 1 species